CAAAACAAGGAACAAAGAGCAAAGAAUAAGAGCAAACCCUAGAGAAGAAAAUCAAGAGAAAAUUCAUUAAAUUUCAAGGAAUUAAGCAAGUAAAGGUGGUGAAACUUCCAAUAAGGGUAAGGAGAUUGUACCCGAAGACCGGGACUAGGAGUACUUUGACUCCCGAUAUUGUUUCGGUUGGCAUUCAGGGUAAUGAAUGUCUAUCGGGACAUCGCGGCAGUUGUCAUGGGCUCAAGGAGAGUACCGGGUUGUGACAAAAGUGAAGGAAAAACUUUUGAAGAUUGAAGAUCUAAGAUCUGACAAAUCCGAGUUAUCUUUUAUUUUUUAGUUCUUUUUAUGCUUUCUUUGUUUUGUGUUGAUAGUUAAACUUUUUUGGAUAAUGUUUUUAGUAGUUAUGAGGAAUUAAUUUUCUUAUCUAGAGUUCAA